rnacentral:rRNA from 1 species
UGCUUUUUGUAAAUAUAAAAAGUAUUACCUGCCCAAUGACAAAUUUAAUGGCUGCAGUAUAUUGACUGUACAAAGGUAGCAUAAUCAUUUGCUUUAUAAAUUAAAGCUUGUAUGAAUGGUAUAAUGAAAAUAUAACUGUCUCUUUUUUAUAAAUAAAAUUUGCUUUUUCAGUGAAGAAGCUGAAUAUAUUUAGAAAGACGAUAAGACCCUAAUGAGUUUUAUAUAUAUAAUAUAUAUAUAAUUAUAUAUAUUUUGUUGGGGUAAUAAAAGAAAAAAUCUUCUUUUAUAUUAAAAAAAUAAUAUUUAUUGAGCCAUUAAUAAUGGAUAAAAGUUUAAAUUACCAUAGGGAUAACAGCAUAAUUCUUUUUAAGAGUACAUAUCGACAAAAGAGAUUGUGACCUCGAUGUUGAAUUAAGAGAAUUGUAUAAUGCAGAAAUUAUAUUAAUAAGUCUGUUCGACUUUUAAAUUCUUACA